rnacentral:rRNA from 1 species
CGCGUAGGCGGCCGCUUAAGUAGGGUGUGAAAUGUCCCGGCUCAACCGGGGAAUGGCGCUCUAAACUGGGUGGCUCGAGUGAGAUAGAGGUGUGCGGAACUUCCGGUGGAGCGGUGAAAUGUGUUGAUAUCGGAGGGAACACCAUUGGCGAAAGCGGCACACUGGGUCUUAACUGACGCUGAGGCACGAAAGCCAGGGGAGCAAACG